AUGACGCUGGCGGCAGGCCUAACACAUGCAAGUCGAGCGGUAACAGAAAGUAGCUUGCUACUUUGCUGACGAGCGGCGGACGGGUGAGUAAUGCUUGGGAACAUGCCUUGAGGUGGGGGACAACAGUUGGAAACGACUGCUAAUACCGCAUAAUGUCUACGGACCAAAGGGGGCUUCGGCUCUCGCCUUUAGAUUGGCCCAAGUGGGAUUAGCUAGUUGGUGAGGUAAUGGCUCACCAAGGCAACGAUCCCUAGCUGGUUUGAGAGGAUGAUCAGCCACACUGGAACUGAGACACGGUCCAGACUCCUACGGGAGGCAGCAGUGGGGAAUAUUGCACAAUGGGCGAAAGCCUGAUGCAGCCAUGCCGCGUGUGUGAAGAAGGCCUUCGGGUUGUAAAGCACUUUCAGUCAGGAGGAAAGGGUGUGAGUUAAUACCUCAUAUCUGUGACGUUACUGACAGAAGAAGCACCGGCUAACUCCGUGCCAGCAGCCGCGGUAAUACGGAGGGUGCGAGCGUUAAUCGGAAUUACUGGGCGUAAAGCGUACGCAGGCGGUUUGUUAAGCGAGAUGUGAAAGCCCCGGGCUCAACCUGGGAACUGCAUUUCGAACUGGCAAACUAGAGUGUGAUAGAGGGUGGUAGAAUUUCAGGGUAGCGGUGAAAUGCGUAGAGAUCUGAAGGAAUACCGAUGGCGAAGGCAGCCACCUGGGUCAACACUGACGCUCAUGUACGAAAGCGUGGGGAGCAAACGGGAUUAGAUACCCCGGUAGUCCACGCCGUAAACAGAUGUCUACUAGA
rnacentral:rRNA from 1 species